GGGGUGCUUUAGAGCUUCAGAUGCAGAAGGUCGCUUCUUCGGGUUAACCUCCAGCAAAUGAUCAACAAAGUCAAUGAAGCCUUGGUCCCUUAUCGGUAAUCUAUGCCUCAAAGAUGUCUUCUUUGGAAUCAGUUCAACAAUGGAAACGAAUCAAAAGUGGUAAAGUCAGAUGAUUAAGUUGAUAGAUAUUUCUCAAACCACUUUGAAUAUAGCUUUGAAGAAUAGUCCUUAUAAUGGAAUUCAGUUCUUUCUGAAAUAUGACAAGUGUGAAUAGUUAUAUU
rnacentral:lncRNA from 1 species